UGAACGCUAGCUACAGGCUUAACACAUGCAAGUCGAGGGGCAGCAUGGUCUUAGCUUGCUAAGGCCGAUGGCGACCGGCGCACGGGUGAGUAACACGUAUCCAACCUGCCGUCUACUCUUGGACAGCCUUCUGAAAGGAAGAUUAAUACAAGAUGGCAUCAUGAGUCCGCAUGUUCACAUGAUUAAGGAUUUAUCGGUGUACGAUGGGGAUGCGUUCCAUUAGGUAGUAGGCGGGGUAACGGCCCACCUAGCCAACGAUGGAUAGGGGUUCUGAGAGGAAGGUCCCCCACAUUGGAACUGAGACACGGUCCAAACUCCUACGGGAGGCAGCAGUGAGGAAUAUUGGUCAAUGGACGAGAGUCUGAACCAGCCAAGUAGCGUGAAGGAUGAAGGUCCUACGGAUUGUAAACUUCUUUUAUAAGGGAAUAAAACCUCCCACGUGUGGGAGCUUGUAUGUACCUUAUGAAUAAGCAUCGGCUAACUCCGUG
rnacentral:rRNA from 1 species